rnacentral:lncRNA from 1 species
CCUGUAUAUGCCCACUGAUGUCGGUCAUCAUACAGACUUGUGGUGAAGUGGGAGGUGGUGUCACAGCUCAUCUUCAGUGCCCUACUUGUGGCCACUUCUCCAAGAGUCAUGCCCACCAGUUGUCUCACAUGGCCAGUGCUCACCCGUCCUGCCUGGAUGAUGUGUCAGUCGGUCGUCUUGGCAAUAUCCUGAUGUUCCAGAGCACCGCUCGGCUGUUCCACUGUACCAACUGCUUCUACACCAGCAGAGACUUCACCAAGCUAUACAAGCACAUUAUUACUAAACACUGUGAAGAUGAUGAGGUUUCUUUCCAGAAGCAAGAGUCUGUUAGAGAGCUUCUGAAGGAAGAGAUGGAGGCCACGGCCAAGGUAAUACGCUUUGUCUCCAACCGCUUCGUCUGUCUAAGCUGUGGCUGGAAAACCAAACUCAAAGGUUUUGCCAUCAGUCAUGUGAUACGCAGUCAUGACGUUGUCCGCCCGUACAACUGUAAGGACUGUACACGCUCCUUCUUCCUCCCCAGCCACCUACAACAGCACAUUAGAUCAGCUCAUCGGCCUGGACGCUACGCAUGCCCCUUCUGCUGCUUUAGGUCCCACUUCCUGACGGGGUUCAGGAGGCACUGCAGCCGCUGCAAUGCCCGGGAAGAGGAAGGGGGAAGAGGAGUAGGUGGGGGGGAGGACGAGGAGGCAGAGGAGAAUGAGGAAGAGGAGCAGGGGAAGGAGGAGAGGAAGGACACAAGAGCAGAGAGGAGACGAAAGAGGGCGACGGAAGGUGUGGAGGAGCAGAAGGAGGAUGAUGAGAGUGAUAAUCAAUGA